rnacentral:rRNA from 1 species
GACAGAGGUGCCAAGCGUUAGGCGGAAUCACUGGGCUUAAAGCGUGUGUAGGCGGAUGCCUAAGUACCUUGUGAAAUCCCACGGCUCAACCGUGGAACUGCUUGGUAUACUGGGUGUCUUGAGCCAUCUAGGGGCUACCGGAACAAAUGGUGGAGCGGUGAAAUGCGUAGAUAUCGCUUGGAACGCCGAAGGUGAAAACAGGUCGCUGGGGAUGUGCCGACGCUGAGACACGAAAGCCAGGGGAGCAAACGGG